NNUCGCACUUCGGUGUNNUNNAUNAAUCAUGGAGAGUUUGAUCCUGGCUCAGAACGAACGCUGGCGGCGCGUUUUAAGNAUGCAAGUCGAACGGUAGAGAUCCUUCGGGGUCUUGAGAGUGGCGAACGGGNNAGUAACACGUAGAUGAUCUGCCUUGAAGUUGGGGAUAGCCCAUAGAAAUAUGGGGUAAUACCGGAUAAUCUCUUUUUACUUUGGUGAAUAGAGGAAAGGGGCUUCGGCCUCGCUUURAGAUGAGUCUGCGGCUGAUUAGCUAGUUGGUAGGGUAAAGGCCUACCAAGGCGACGAUCAGUAGCCGGCCUGAGAGGGUGACCGGCCACAUUGGGACUGAGACACGGCCCAAACUCCUACGGGAGGCAGCAGCUAAGAAUCUUCCGCAAUGGGCGCAAGCCUGACGGAGCGACGCCGCGUGGACGAAGAAUGCCGAGAGGUUGUAAAGUCCNUUUAUUUGCGAAGAAUAAURACYGUAGGUAAUGACRGUYAGAUGACGUUAGCUUAUGAAUAAGCUCCGGCCAAUUACGUGCCAGCAGCCGCGGUAACACGUAAGGAGCGAGCGUUGUUCGGAAUUAUUGGGCGUAAAGGGCAUGUAGGCGGUUUUGUAAGUCUGGUGUGAAAUACUACAGCUUAACUGUGGGAACGCACUGGAAACUGUGAGACUAGAAUCAGUGAGGGGUAACCGGAAUUCCUUGUGUAGGGGUGAAAUCUGUUGAUAUAAGGAAGAACACCGAUGGCGAAGGCAGGUUACUGGCGCAUGAUUGACGCUGAUGUGCNNNAGCGUAGGGAGCGAACAGGAUUAGAUACCCUGGUNGUCUACGCUGUAAACGAUGUGCACUUGGUGUUGGGGUUACUAAGCCUCAGUGCCGAAGCUAACGCGUUAAGUGCACCGCCUGGGGAGUAUGCCGGCAACGGUGAAACUCAAAGGAAUUGNNNNNNNNNNNGCACAAGNNNNNNNNNNNNNNGUUUAAUUCGAUGNUACGCGAGAAACCUUACCAGGGUUUGACAUGUUUAUGAUCGUCAUAGAGAUAUGAUUUUNCCUUCGGGGNCAUUUAUACAGGUGCUGCAUGGUUGUCGUCAGCUCGUGCCGUGAGGUGUUGGGUUAAGUCCCGCAACGAGCGCAACCCCUAUUGUCUGUUACCAUCAUUAAGUUGGGGACUCAGGCAAGACUGCCGGUGACAAACCGGAGGAAGGUGGGGACGACGUCAAAUCAUCAUGGCCCUUAUAUCCUGGGCUACACACGUGCUACAAUGGCCGGUACAGAGUGAUGCGAAGCCGCGAGGUGGAGCCAAACGCAAAAAGCCGGUCUCAGUUCGGAUUGGAGUCUGAAACUCGACUCCAUGAAGGUGGAAUCGCUAGUAAUCGCGCAUCAGCAUGGCGCGGUGAAUACGUUCCCGGGCCUUGUACACACCGCCCGUCACACCACCCGAGUUGGGGGUACCCGAAGUCGCUAGUCUAACCUGCAAAAAGAGGACGGCGCCGAAGGUAUGCCUGGNNNNNNNNNNNNNNNNGUAACAAGNNNNNNGUACUGGAAAGNNNNNNNNGAUCACCUCCUUU
rnacentral:rRNA from 1 species